rnacentral:lncRNA from 1 species
UUUAGGUGUUAUUUUUUUUAACACAAUAAAACAAUAUCAUUUUAAAUUAUGAUAUUUUCCUAUGUAUUUUCUGAGUGAUGUACUUGUAAUUUAUGAUCUAACAUCUUGGCCUUCCUAUCCUGGACAGACAUACUGAAGAUCCUCUGACAGACCAACCCAUUUUGUGCGUCGUAAUGAACCUGUAAUUAAUCAUCAAUACGGAACAUUGGUCUGUCUAUCCUGAAGGCACACACUGAAGAUGGCGAAAUGCCGAAACCCAGUCUGACAGAACAACCCAGUGACGAUAGUGAAACCAGGCGAUCGCGAGGUUGAGGUGACAAAUUACAAGCGGGAAUCGAAUCCAAGACAUCCGCAUUACUCAGGUGCUACUGCUUGAGCUGUCGUUAGUUAGGACCUUCGAGACACCAAUUCCUCAUUUCAACCUACAACUAUUUAUAUACACAUAUCCCUUUCUUCGCCAACAUCUCUCAUAAAAUAAUUAAUUUAUGAAAAA